rnacentral:rRNA from 1 species
GACGAACGCUGGCGGCGUGCUUAACACAUGCAAGUCGAACGGAAAGGCCCUGCUUUUGUGGGGUGCUCGAGUGGCGAACGGGUGAGUAACACGUGAGUAACCUGCCCUUGACUUUGGGAUAACUUCAGGAAACUGGGGCUAAUACCGGAUAGGAGCUCCUGCUGCAUGGUGGGGGUUGGAAAGUUUCGGCGGUUGGGGAUGGACUCGCGGCUUAUCGGCUUGUUGGUGGGGUAGUGGCUUACCAAGGCUUUGACGGGUAGCCGGCCUGGGGGGGUGACCGGCCAAUUGGGGCGGGAGUAACGGCCCGACCUCCCAGGGGGGGGAGGGGGGGGGAAUGUUGCCCAGGGGGGGGAAGCCUGAGGCACAAACCCGGGGGGCGGGAGGAGGGCCUUGGGGUGGAAACCCCCUUUCCCUUGGGGGGAAAGGGAGGGACGGGAAAGGGGAAAAAAGCCCCGGCUAACUCAGGG